rnacentral:rRNA from 1 species
UGCAAGUCGAACGGUAACAUUGGUGCUUGCACCAGAUGACGAGUGGCGCACGGGUGCGUAACGCGUAUGCAAUCUACCUUUUACUGAAGAAUAGCCCAGAGAAAUUUGGAAUAAUCCUUCAUAAUAUCAUUUAUCAGCAUUGAUUUAUGAUUAAAGCUCCGGCGGUAAAAGAUGAGCAUGCGUCCUAUUAGUUUGUUGGUGAGGUAACGGCUCACCAAGACUACGAUAGGUAGGGGCCCUGAGAGGGGGAUCCCCCACACUGGUACUGAGACACGGACCAGACUCCUACGGGAGGCAGCAGUGAGGAAUAUUGGACAAUGGAGGCAACUCUGAUCCAGCCAUGCCGCGUGCAGGAUGACUGCCCUAUGGGUUGUAAACUGCUUUUAUAUAGGAAGAAACACUCCCACGUGUGGGGGCUUGACGGUACUAUAUGAAUAAGGAUCGGCUAACUCCGUGCCAGCAGCCGCGGUAAUACGGAGGAUCCAAGCGUUAUCCGGAAUCAUUGGGUUUAAAGGGUCCGCAGGCGGCCUGUUAAGUCAGAGGUGAAAGCCAACAGCUCAACUGUUGAACUGCCUUUGAUACUGAUAGGCUUGAGUUAUUGUGAAGUGGUUAGAAUGUGUGGUGUAGCGGUGAAAUGCUUAGAUAUCACACAGAAUACCCAUUGCGAAGGCAGAUCACUAACAAUAUACUGACGCUCAUGGACGAAAGCGUGGGGAGCGAACGGGAUUAGAUACCCCGGUAGUCCACGCCGUAGACGAUGGAUACUAACUGUUCGACCUUCGGGUUGAGUGGUCAAGCGAAAGUGAUAAGUAUCCCACCUGGGGAGUACGCUCGCAAGAGUGAAACUCAAAGGAAUUG